rnacentral:rRNA from 1 species
ACCGAAGCUGCGGCAGCGACACUGUGUGUUGUUGGGUAGGGGAGCGUUCUGUAAGCCUGUGAAGGUGGCCUGUGAGGGUUGCUGGAGGUAUCAGAAGUGCGAAUGCUGACAUAAGUAACGAUAAAGCGGGUGAAAAGCCCGCUCGCCGGAAGACCAAGGGUUCCUGUCCAACGUUAAUCGGGGCAGGGUGAGUCGACCCCUAAGGCGAGGCCGAAAGGCGUAGUCGAUGGGAAACGGGUUAAUAUUCCCGUACUUGGUGUUACUGCGAAGGGGGGACGGAGAAGGCUAUGUUGGCCGGGCGACGGUUGUCCCGGUUUAAGCGUGUAGGUGUGUGUUCCAGGUAAAUCCGGUUCACUUUAACACUGAGGCGUGACGACGAGGCACUACGGUGCUGAAGCAACAAAUGCCCUGCUUCCAGGAAAAGCCUCUAAGCAUCAGGUAACAUCAAAUCGUACCCCAAACCGACACAGGUGGUCAGGUAGAGAAUACCAAGGCGCUUGAGAGAACUCGGGUGAAGGAACUAGGCAAAAUGGUGCCGUAACUUCGGGAGAAGGCACGCUGACACGUAGGUGAAGUGAUUUACUCAUGGAGCUGAAGUCAGUCGAAGAUACCAGCUGGCUGCAACUGUUUAUUAAAAACACAGCACUGUGCAAACACGAAAGUGGACGUAUACGGUGUGACGCCUGCCCGGUGCCGGAAGGUUAAUUGAUGGGGUCAGCGCAAGCGAAGCUCCUGAUCGAAGCCCCGGUAAACGGCGGCCGUAACUAUAACGGUCCUAAGGUAGCGAAAUUCCUUGUCGGGUAAGUUCCGACCUGCACGAAUGGCGUAAUGAUGGCCAGGCUGUCUCCACCCGAGACUCAGUGAAAUUGAACUCGCUGUGAAGAUGCAGUGUACCCGCGGCAAGACGGAAAGACCCCGUGAACCUUUACUAUAGCUUGACACUGAACAUUGAGCCUUGAUGUGUAGGAUAGGUGGGAGGCUUUGAAGUGUGGACGCCAGUCUGCAUGGAGCCGACCUUGAAAUACCACCCUUUAAUGUUUGAUGUUCUAACGUGGACCCGUUACCCGGGUUGCGGACAGUGUCUGGUGGGUAGUUUGACUGGGGCGGUCUCCUCCUAAAGAGUAACGGAGGAGCACGAAGGUUGGCUAAUCCUGGUCGGACAUCAGGAGGUUAGUGCAAUGGCAUAAGCCAGCUUGACUGCGAGCGUGACGGCGCGAGCAGGUGCGAAAGCAGGUCAUAGUGAUCCGGUGGUUCUGAAUGGAAGGGCCAUCGCUCAACGGAUAAAAGGUACUCCGGGGAUAACAGGCUGAUACCGCCCAAGAGUUCAUAUCGACGGCGGUGUUUGGCACCUCGAUGUCGGCUCAUCACAUCCUGGGGCUGAAGUAGGUCCCAAGGGUAUGGCUGUUCGCCAUUUAAAGUGGUACGCGAGCUGGGUUUAGAACGUCGUGAGACAGUUCGGUCCCUAUCUGCCGUGGGCGCUGGAGAACUGAGGGGGGCUGCUCCUAGUACGAGAGGACCGGAGUGGACGCAUCACUGGUGUUCGGGUUGUCAUGCCAAUGGCACUGCCCGGUAGCUAAAUGCGGAAGAGAUAAGUGCUGAAAGCAUCUAAGCACGAAACUUGCCCCGAGAUGAGUUCUCCCUGAGACUUAGAGUCUCCUGAAGGAACGUUGAAGACGACGACGUUGAUAGGCCGGGUGUGUAAGCGCAGCGAUGCGUUGAGCUAACCGGUACUAAUGAACCGUGAGGCUUAACCUUACAACGCCGAAG